AUCAACGCUGGCGGCGUGCCUUACACAUGCAAGUCGAACGGCAGCACGGAGCUUGCUCUGGUGGCGAGUGGCGAACGGGUGAGUAAUAUAUCGGAACGUACCCUGGAGUGGGGGAUAACGUAGCGAAAGUUACGCUAAUACCGCAUACGAUCUCAGGAUGAAAGCAGGGGACCUUCGGGCCUUGUGCUCCUGGAGCGGCCGAUAUCUGAUUAGCUAGUUGGUGGGGUAAAGGCCUACCAAGGCAUCGAUCAGUAGCUGGUCUGAGAGGACGACCAGCCACACUGGAACUGAGACACGGUCCAGACUCCUACGGGAGGCAGCAGUGGGGAAUUUUGGACAAUGGGCGCAAGCCUGAUCCAGCAAUGCCGCGUGAGUGAAGAAGGCCUUCGGGUUGUAAAGCUCUUUUGUCAGGGAAGAAACGGGAGUGGCUAAUAUCUGUUCCUAAUGACGGUACCUGAAGAAUAAGCACCGGCUAACUACGUGCCAGCAGCCGCGGUAAUACGUAGGGUGCAAGCGUUAAUCGGAAUUACUGGGCGUAAAGCGUGCGCAGGCGGUUUUGUAAGACUGACGUGAAAUCCCCGGGCUCAACCUGGGAAUGGCGUUGGUGACUGCAAGGCUAGAGUUUGGCAGAGGGGGGUAGAAUUCCACGUGUAGCAGUGAAAUGCGUAGAUAUGUGGAGGAACACCGAUGGCGAAGGCAGCCCCCUGGGUCAAAACUGACGCUCAUGCUACGAAAGCGUGGGGAGCAAACAGGAUUAGAUACCCUGGUAGUCCACGCCCUAAACGAUGUCUACUAGUUGUCGGGUCUUAAUUGACUUGGUAACGCAGCUAACGCGUGAAGUAGACCGCCUGGGGAGUACGGUCGCAAGAUUAAAACUCAAAGGAAUUGACGGGGACCCGCACAAGCGGUGGAUGAUGUGGAUUAAUUCGAUGCAACGCGAAAAACCUUACCUACCCUUGACAUGGCAGGAAUCCCGAAGAGAUUUGGGAGUGCUCGAAAGAGAACCUGCACACAGGUGCUGCAUGGCUGUCGUCAGCUCGUGUCGUGAGAUGUUGGGUUAAGUCCCGCAACGAGCGCAACCCUUGUCAUUAGUUGCUACGAAAGGGCACUCUAAUGAGACUGCCGGUGACAAACCGGAGGAAGGUGGGGAUGACGUCAAGUCCUCAUGGCCCUUAUGGGUAGGGCUUCACACGUCAUACAAUGGUACAUACAGAGGGCCGCCAACCCGCGAGGGGGAGCUAAUCCCAGAACGUGUAUCGUAGUCCGGAUUGUAGUCUGCAACUCGACUACAUGAAGUUGGAAUCGCUAGUAAUCGCGGAUCAGCAUGUCGCGGUGAAUACGUUCCCGGGUCUUGUACACACCGCCCGUCACACCAUGGGAGCGGGUUUUACCAGAAGUAGGUAGCUUAACCGUAAGGAGGGCGCUUACCACGGUAGGAUUCGUGACUGGGGUG
rnacentral:rRNA from 1 species